rnacentral:rRNA from 1 species
GACGAACGCUGGCGGCGUGCUUAACACAUGCAAGUCGAACGGAAAGGCCCUGCUUUUGUGGGGUGCUCGAGUGGCGAACGGGUGAGUAACACGUGAGUAACCUGCCCUUGACUUUGGGAUAACUUCAGGAAACUGGGGCUAAUACCGGAUAGGAGCUCCUGCUGCAUGGUGGGGGUUGGAAAGUUUCGGCGGUUGGGGAUGGACGCGCGGCUUCUCCGCUUGUGGGUGGGGUAGUGGCUUACUAAGGCUUUAACGGGUAGCCGGCCUGGGGGGGUGACCGGCAAAGUGGGGCCUAGGAAACGGCCCGACCUCUUACGGGAGGCGGCGGUGGGGAGUAUGGCACAUGGGGCGAAGGCCUGAUGAGGCAACGCCGCGUGCGGAAUGACGGCCUUCGGGUUGUAAACCGCUUUCGCCUGUGACGAGGCGUGAGUGACGGUAGUGGGUAAAGAAGCACCGGCUAACUACGU